rnacentral:rRNA from 1 species
GAAAGAAUAUCGGAGACGGAUGGGCAUGCGGCGCAUUAGCUAGUUGGCGGGGUAACGGCCCACCAAGGCGACGAUGCGUAGGGGUUCUGAGAGGAAGGUCCCCCACACUGGUACUGAGACACGGACCAGACUCCUACGGGAGGCAGCAGUGAGGAAUAUUGGUCAAUGGGCGAGAGCCUGAACCAGCCAAGUCGCGUGAGGGAGUACUGCCCAAUGGGUUGUAAACCUCUUUUGCCGGGGAGCAAAAGCCGGACGUGUCCGUCUGUGAGAGUACCCGAAGAAAAAGCAUCGGCUAACUCCGUGCCAGCAGCCGCGGUAAUACGGAGGAUGCGAGCGUUAUCCGGAUUUAUUGGGUUUAAAGGGUGCGCAGGCGGAUUUUUAAGUCAGCGGUCAAAUCGUGGGGCUCAACCCCAUCCAGCCGUUGAAACUGGGGAUCUAGAGUGUGCGAGAGGUAUGCGGAAUGCGUGGUGUAGCGGUGAAAUGCAUAGAUAUCACGCAGAACCCCGAUUGCGAAGGCAGCAUACCGGUGCACAACUGACGCUCAGGCACGAAAGCGUGGGUAUCGAACAGGAUUAGAUACCCUGGUAGUCCACGCAGUAAACGAUGAAUGCUACCUGUUUGGCCAGAUUGAAGGCUGA